rnacentral:rRNA from 1 species
UACGGAGGGUGCGAGCGUUGUCCGGAAUCACUGGGCGUAAAGGGCGCGUAGGCGGCGCGGCUAGUCAUCGGUGAAAGUUCAGGGCUCAACUCUGAAUCGGCCGGUGAUACUCCCGUGCUCGAGCACUGUAGAGGCAGGUGGAAUUCCGGGUGUAGCGGUGGAAUGCGUAGAGAUCCGGAAGAACACCGGUGGCGAAGGCGGCCUGCUGGGCAGUAGCUGACGCUGAUGCGCGACAGCGUGGGGAGCAAACAGG